ACGUUAUCAGCACGAGCUGCCUA
rnacentral:siRNA from 1 species